UUUCCUUCUGUUUUAAUGCGGUAAUUCGUCCUACUAUGUAGCCUCUUGGAAUUUUAUAAUUUUUGUUAGUUUGGUUAACGAAGAUCAUUGGAACUUUCUUAUCCUUCCGAACUAUACAAACGGCGUCUUUUAAAUAUAGUCCUGGGUCUUCCAUAAUGCAGUUAUUGUCUAUGCUGUUCACUUCAACCAAGUCAUUUUUUUCCAGAGGAAAAUUGUUGUUUAUUUUUCCAUAGAAUACAGUCACCGUGUUUGGUCUCAUAAUAAGUUUCUUAGGAGUUCUUACAAUAGUUGAGAUAUGUAAAUCUUCUUUAAGUUCCGCGUAUACUUUGCCAUCAAUACGCAUGAGUCCAAGAUCAAAGUAUAAACGAACAUUGUUUUUCUUGAGCCAAUCACGACCGAGAAUCAUGUUUCGGUUGAGUCCCUUUGUCACAUAAAGUUUGUGGUCUAAAGUUAACCCUGAAAUCUUAAAGGAAAUAUUUACAUACCCUAUCGCAAUUAAAGAAUUGCCAUUUGCUGCUUGUAAAGAGGGGAUGUCAUUAUUAAACAACUUGGGGCGGGGAAAUAGAUUAUCAUACAUUUUCUUACUAAUUAGAGAUACGGCUGCCCCUGUAUCUACCAAAGCUCUAAAUUUAUUUUUACCUACUUUUAAUAAACAGCUACUGGGGUUGUUAGUAAAAUUAAUUUCAUAUGUAGGUCUUUGUUUAAAGUUCUUUCUUCGGGCUUCAACGAAGGAAGAACGUCUUAGUUUUCCUGUUUUUGUUUGUCAAAAUAAGAGCGCGAUUUGAAAUUUUGAGACGAUCCCCUAUUUACUUGGUCGCUAGAUUUAUAUGUUCGGCCUUGACGAUUUGAUGGUCUGCCCCGAUUUUGCUGCGUUCUUUGAUACAUAUGCGAGCCCCAACAAUCUGCACGCACAUGACCUACUUUACCACAAUUCCAACAUUCCACAGGCGAACGGGGUCUCUGUUCUAUAUUAUGGACGGGUUUGUUUUGACUGGGUCGUUUAUCUAUUUGAGGACGGGACCUGACUUGGGAUUUAUUUUGAGUACAAAAUCGAGCCCUAUGACCCGUCUGUUUACAUUUAAAACACCUACUAUUACGCGCAUGGUCAAUUUCCAUUGGUUCUACAUGCCUUGUCUCUACUGAGUUAAAGCUCCUACAAUACGGAAAGGGAGAAUACACAAUAUAUACAAUCUUCCAAAGAAACGCACACCUCCUAGAAUAAGGUCCGAGAGAAGAGACAGCGCAUAUGACGCUCUUAUCAAACGCCGGUGCAAUAGACGACGAGUUUGCAAGCAAUAAAAUCCGUUCACGUGCCCUGUAAAGAUCACUGUAACUUAUAACUAUAACUCAAUGCCUGAAAAAUAAAGUCUGCGUGGAAUGAUAACACUUUUUAUAUCAUUGAAACGGGUGUAUACUGAAUGCUUUGUGUUACUACCUAAAAGUGAGUCAUAUUAAAAGGAGGAAAUCGAUUGAAAUUAAAGUAAUUGGCGGUUAAUUCAAAGCCUUGUACGCACUUACACUUUAGUUCUACAAGCACUUCCGCUAAUAACUCCAAAUUUGAAAAUGUGUUACAUAUAAUAUCAAUUUUAACAUAUGAGAUUUUCUGUACAAUUGGAUAAGAUCUCACUUUAUACUUUGUUGAAUGAAUUUGUAUACUUCUGGUUACAAUAACAUUUUCAUUUUCAUCACUGUUGUUGAUGUUUUAGAAAAACUAUCAUGAGCCCAUGUCAACCUUGGAAAAUUGGCUUUCGUCAUUUAUAAUGUAGAAUCUACAGGAAUCUGUAUCUGAAUGUAAAU